GGGGGAGCUCGAGGCCCCGCCCAGAGCCUGAUCAGCUGAUGGCUGGCAAUGUCUGUUGACAGCAGCAGCCUCCGCGGCAGGACUGGGUAUGUGAAUCCAAAUGGAGCAUUCUGAAGGAGGAGACCAAAACCAGCAGCAACAGCCUUGGGGGAAGCUGAUCCGGUUAGGUGCUGAUGAAGCAGAGCCCCAUGUGUUACUGCUGAAAAGAGAAUGGACAAUUGGGCGGAAAAAAGGUUGUGACUUGUCCUUUCCUGGCAACAAACUGGUGUCUGGAGAUCACUGUAAGAUUACAGUGGAUGAAGAAUCUGGACAAGUAUCAUUGGAGGAUACCAGCACUAAUGGAACAGUAAUUAAUAAACUGAAAGUGGUUAAGAAGCAGACAUGCUCUUUGCAGACUGGGGAUGUGAUCUAUGUUGUUUACAGGAAGAAUGAGCCAGAAAACAAUGUUGCUUAUCUCUAUGAAUCCUUCAAUGCAAAACAAGAUGUAACACAAGAACCAGUAGAAGCUAAUGUAGAAAAUACUUGCCAUCUGACCAAAGAUACCUCACAUAUAGGAAGAAGUGAUGAUGGAACCCAAAUUACCUCAUCACUGCCAGCCACUCAGUCUUGCUAUGAGGAACCACAGCCAUCUACUUCUACAUCUAACCUCUUUAAUGCUUCUUCUACCUCUCUUAUCGAGCGGGCAUCUGCUGAGCAGGAUAAUCCUUCAACAUCUGGAUCACAGUCCUCUGUUUUCAUUCCUGUGCCUGCUUUCCCCACUCUAGAACCUAGGUGUCCUGGAGCAUCACAUGAAGAACAAGGACAGCUGUAUGCAAAUAGUGAAACUUCCACUAUCACUUCAAAUAUCAUUGAUAAAGAGAAAAAUGAAAGUUCUACAUCAGAGCCUCAAAGGGAAGAGGAGGAGGACUUGGAGCCUGCAAAGAAGAAAAUAAAAGGAGAUGAGAAUGCUAGUCCAUACCUUCAGAUGACCGCUCCAAAUCAAUGUAUAAUUAAAGCUGGAUCUGAAGGUGCAAAAACAACAAAUGUGAAACCAGACAAAAUGGAAGAAACACUCACUUGCAUUAUCUGCCAGGAAUUGCUGCAUGACUGUGUCAGCUUGCAGCCCUGCAUGCACACCUUCUGUGCUGCCUGCUACUCAGGGUGGAUGGAACGGUCUUCUCUCUGUCCAACUUGCCGUUGUCCAGUUGAACGUAUCUGUAAGAACCAUAUACUGAAUAACUUGGUUGAAGCCUAUCUAAUCCAACAUCCAGAUAAGUGUCGCAAUGAAGAGGAUGUACGUAGUAUGGAUGCCAGAAACAAAAUCACUCAAGACAUGCUGCAGCCUAAGGUGCGAAGGUCAUUUUCAGAUGAAGAAGGAAGUUCUGAGGAUCUGCUGGAACUGUCGGAUGUAGAUAGUGAAUCCUCCGAUAUCAGUCAGCCUUAUAUAGUGUGCAGACAGUGCCCAGGAUAUCGGCGACACUCCAUUCCGCCACUUCCUUGCCCAGGCCAAGAGGGGGAAGCAGGAGGAUUGCAAGCAUUGGGAGAUGCACCAUCAACGUCUGCUAACUUUCCUGCAACUGUCCAGGAGUAUGUUUGUCCUUCUCAAGGAAGUCAUGUAAUAUGCACGUGCUGUUUUCAACCAAUGCCAGACCGAAGAGCAGAGCGUGAACAGAAUCCCAAUAUUGCCCCUCAGCAAUGCACAGUUUGUCUACAGCCGUUCUGUCACUUGUACUGGGGCUGCACUCGGAUGGCAUGUUUUGGCUGCUUGGCACCAUUCUGUGAAAUAAAUCUUGGUGACAAGUGUUUAGAUGGAAUCCUAAACAACAACCAUUAUGAGUCGGAUAUUCUAAAGGAAUACCUGGCAUUCAGGGGUUUUACAUGGAAAAACAUGUUAAAUGAAAGUCUCUUAGCUCUUCAAAGAGAAGUUUUUAUGCUGUCAGAUUACAGAAUUACUGGGAACACAGUGCUUUGUUAUUGUUGUGGCCUCCGCAGCUUCCGAGAGCUCGCCUACCAGUAUAGGCAGAAUAUUCCUGCUGCUGAAUUGCCAGUGACUGUCACAUCACGUCCUGAUUGUUACUGGGGGCGCAAUUGCCGGACUCAGGUUAAAGCACACCAUGCUAUAUUUAGUUUAGGUGCUUUGAUGUACAUUUGCGAGAGUUAUCUGUAGCACUGGGCUGCAUUGUUGUUGCUAGGGGGUAUUUUGAUGCGCUUGGGAGCUGAUUCAGUGUCAAAACAACUGCCAGACUUUCCUAUUCAGAUUGAAGUUGGGUUUUUUGUAUCCCUCUGGAAUAGGAAUUGAAGGAAGCUUUAGUGAUAAUUCAGUGCUCUUUCUUCAAGCGUUAGCUGUACACAGAACUUCGGACAAGCUUCUAGUUCCAGAAACCCAUGAAACAAAACAGUCCUGACACACCACUUUUACACACCACACACCUUCUGCAUGAGGCAGAGCUAGUCUGCUAACUGGUGUGGGUUUGAGACCAGAUUCUUAUUAAAUAAGAGGGCUGAGAGCCUCAGGCCUUCUACUCAUCUCCUGCAAACAUCUACACGCUCAACUCUCAACUUGUGCCUUAAAUACAUGUUGGGGCACUGAACCCAUCAGGGAGAACACAAGAACAGACAAAUACUUGACAGAAAUUCAAUCACAUUUGUGAACAAACACGUUUCAAGAACUGAACUUUCUGAAAUUGAAGCUGUCUGAAUAUUUGUAGUCGUUAGAGAGGGGAUGAAAGCCCGAAAUACUGAUACAUAGGAAAUGUUUUCAGGGGAUUUUCAUUAUUCCCUCACAGCAGGGAGUUAAUAACUUUUUCAUCAGGUACUCUGGUGUGACCUUUUUAAUUUGUAGAGUUUAACAGUUUAUAUAUGAGUAAGCGAGAACCUUUUGAAAGAAAAUCUGACAAGCAUUGCAUUCCAUCCUCAUUAUUACAGUGUUACUAUUUCACUAUACUUAAAUCAAGUAAUAGCAGCCAUACAUUGGAGGUCCUAACAAUAAUCAGUAAGGAGUGUAUUUGCACUAAAUAUUUCUGAAAAUAAGAGAAACCUUUAAAUUAAAAUGGAAAUGCUCUGUACCGGUAACUUAAUAUCAAAGGAGGAAACUCAGCACAUGUUCAGACUUGUCCACUGCUAUCUUGUCAUUAGCAUUGUAGUUGGGAUGGAAAUCUAUUAAAGUUCACUUUCACAAAACAGGAAGGUGUUCUGGUAUACGUUCAUCAGAAUGGUUUUUUGUUAAUUUUUUUUUCCCUAUUCAUUAAACAAAGAACAGCUUCAGCUUACAGCUCCAAAUCAGAACAGUGCUUUGCAGGAACGCUAUAAAGGAAAACAUUUUUUUUUAGUUUAGUAAUACUGAUGUUUUUUUACCAUUAGAAUUAAAUAAUUCAAACAGUUGCACAAAUAUUUACAAAUCAGACUCAAAUUUGGGAUAGUAAUUGCUUAUGAAUAAGCUUCUGCUUUUAAUAACUGUUUAGCAAUUUUAUAUCAAACUAAACCAUUAUUGACAUAGAGCAGACAGUAAGACAAGUUGGUGCAAUUUUUUAAAUUUAUUUUUUGGUGUGAUGUACGUUAGCUAGGCAUAUAGUUUUUAUCUUGCAGCUGUGCUCUAGCGUGUGCACAUCGGUAAAAGCAUAGAAAAGCUGCCACUUCAACAGAAUAUAACAGAUUUACAAGAAAGAACAAAUGUUACCUAUGAAAAGGUCCACCACAGAUGAACUUUAGCAAUAUGGAGAAAUUCUUUUGAUGUGGGAGAGAUUUUAAGGGGAAAACUGGUGUCUCUAACGUUGAGUAUGUAGACUUAAUUUUUCACUCAUCUAUUUUUUGCUUAAUUAUGUUCAGAACAUUUCCUGAGCAUCAUAAAAAUGUGAUGUAGUCAUAAAUAUUUCCUAGUCAUCUGUCAACUAAUGUUCACAUGCUUGACUUGGACCAGCUUUUCAUAAGUAUCAUGCCCAGGAGAGCAAAGUAGAAUGGGAAGAAAGAGUACAAAGUUACCUCUGUAUAUAUCAUGUUUUACGUAUGCCUUCUUUUGCAAGCAAGAUUUAUACUUCAACAUAAAAAAAAACACUCUAUGCUAUGUGUUCUAGUGCAGCACAGGAUGAUGUAGCACAUUGUAUCUGUUAGUCAAUUAAUUAAAAAAAUACAAUACUGCACAUGUUAAUAUAAAUGCUAAUUAAAAAUAAUGGAUUUCUGUUCAUAUUUUAAUUUUAAAAGUAGCUGCAGCAGUGAUGGGUCUGUUGGUAAUAUCCAUAAUGCUGUUAAAAGUACACUUGGGUGCGGACUUCUCUUCCUAAUCUCUGGGCAUUUCCUCCUGUGAGUAGGGUUGAAAUCAGAUCUGGAAUAAUACUUGAAACUUGUUAACAAAACUUUCUGUCUACCUUUUAUUAUUACUAACAAUGUUCUGUUGCAUCUGUAUUCAUAUUUUAUGUUUAGAAAGAUUGAUUUUUUUAAUGGUUACUAUAUCUUCUCAGGACAGCCAUUCCCAGCUGUUUGGUCUCAAUUUCAACUCUGGCUGUGCAUGUAAGCAAAUGGCAUGUAUUUGUGGAAAGAGAGCCUUUGCACAUUACAUGUAGAAAUGUGAUUUGCGUUCUCACUCACUACUUUCCAUGCCCCACAUUGGCUUUUAGCAUAGGCUUGUCACUAUGCUAAUGUUCAAGUCCCAAAUGUGCUGAAUUUUUGUGGAGUAAGAAUAACAUCUACAACCUUAUGUACAACUUCUCUUGCACCUGCACAAGCUGUUGGGACAUAUGUGACAUAUUAUGUGACAUGUUAAAAAUCUACAACAUUCUCAAGUACUUGACAUCCAAACUACCUGUAUAGUAUAGUAGAGGUUCCUUAUAUACCUUUUAUGUACCCCUCUCUUCCCCCCUCCCCAAUAGAGAAUAAAUAUGCCUUUCUAUGCAUAGGGGGUUGAAGUAGUGCAAUGGAAUGAGAAGUUUUUUGUGAUUAUAUUGUACUUGGAAGAGCUGAGAGAUUAACUUGCAAAUGGGGAGGGUGAAUAAAUCCUGAUCUUUAUAUGCUCUUAAGUAACUAAGAGCAUCUGUCAUGGGUAUUACAUACUCUUAUACAUUAGUCCUUUUAAAAUGUAUGGUUGCCAGGUGAUAUUUAGAUAAUGUGAUAACUGUAUAAACUAUACUUGGUGUAAUUGUUUAAAUACUGUAAAGGUGCACCAUAUUUUUAACCUAUCUAAAGCAUACCCCCACCCUCUUUAUAAGAGAAUUUGGGAGCUGAGCAUGGAACCUUGUAGAAUAGAUGUUGUGAAAACAAGGGUGAUUAUGAUAGGGUUUAAUGUAGUGGUGAAUAAGAUAGUCUCCUUCUGUGAGAAGGUUCUUUUAUAAAGAAGGUGGAAUGCAGUUCUUCCAAUUCUUUUUGUGAUUUCCUGGAUUAAAAAGUUAUUAAAAAAAUUACCCACUGAA